GACGAACGCUGGCGGCGUGCUUAACACAUGCAAGUCGAGCGGUAAGGCCCUUUCGGGGGUACACGAGCGGCGAACGGGUGAGUAACACGUGGGUGACCUGCCUUCGAGUGGGGGAUAACGUCCCGAAAGGGACGCUAAUACCGCAUGACAUCCUGCCUUUGGACAGGUGGAGAUCAAAGCCGGGAUCGCAAGACCUGGCGCUUGAAGAGGGGCCCGCGUCUGAUUAGCUAGUUGGUGAGGUAACGGCUCACCAAGGCGACGAUCAGUAUCCGGCCUGAGAGGGCGGACGGACACACUGGGACUGAGACACGGCCAGACUCCUACGGGAGGCAGCAGUGGGGAAUUGUUCGCAAUGGGCNCAAGCCUGACGACGCAACGCCGCGUGGAGGA
rnacentral:rRNA from 1 species